rnacentral:rRNA from 1 species
CAUAGGUUAAUGAGGCGAACCGGGGGAACUGAAACAUCUAAGUACCCCGAGGAAAAGAAAUCAACCGAGAUUCCCCCAGUAGCGGCGAGCGAACGGGGAGCAGCCCAGAGCCUGAAUCAGUGUGUGUGUUAGUGGAAGCGUCUGGAAAGGCGCGCGAUACAGGGUGACAGCCCCGUACACAAAAAUGCACAUGCUGUGAGCUCGAUGAGUAGGGCGGGACACGUGGUAUCCUGUCUGAAUAUGGGGGGACCAUCCUCCAAGGCUAAAUACUCCUGACUGACCGAUAGUGAACCAGUACCGUGAGGGAAAGGCGAAAAGAACCCCGGCGAGGGGAGUGAAAAAGAACCUGAAACCGUGUACGUACAAGCAGUGGGAGCACGCUUAGGCGUGUGACUGCGUACCUUUUGUAUAAUGGGUCAGCGACUUAUAUUCUGUAGCAAGGUUAACCGAAUAGGGGAGCCGAAGGGAAACCGAGUCUUAACUGGGCGUUAAGUUGCAGGGUAUAGACCCGAAACCCGGUGAUCUAGCCAUGGGCAGGUUGAAGGUUGGGUAACACUAACUGGAGGACCGAACCGACUAAUGUUGAAAAAUUAGCGGAUGACUUGUGGCUGGGGGUGAAAGGCCAAUCAAACCGGGAGAUAGCUGGUUCUCCCCGAAAGCUAUUUAGGUAGCGCCUCGUGAAUUCAUCUCCGGGGGUAGAGCACUGUUUCGGCAAGGGGGUCAUCCCGACUUACCAACCCGAUGCAAACUGCGAAUACCGGAGAAUGUUAUCACGGGAGACACACGGCGGGUGCUAACGUCCGUCGUGAAGAGGGAAACAACCCAGACCGCCAGCUAAGGUCCCAAAGUCAUGGUUAAGUGGGAAACGAUGUGGGAAGGCCCAGACAGCCAGGAUGUUGGCUUAGAAGCAGCCAUCAUUUAAAGAAAGCGUAAUAGCUCACUGGUCGAGUCGGCCUGCGCGGAAGAUGUAACGGGGCUAAACCAUGCACCGAAGCUGCGGCAGCGACGCUGAUGCGUUGUUGGGUAGGGGAGCGUUCUGUAAGCCUGCGAAGGUGUGCUGUGAGGCAUGCUGGAGGUAUCAGAAGUGCGAAUGCUGACAUAAGUAACGAUAAAGCGGGUGAAAAGCCCGCUCGCCGGAAGACCAAGGGUUCCUGUCCAACGUUAAUCGGGGCAGGGUGAGUCGACCCCUAAGGCGAGGCCGAAAGGCGUAGUCGAUGGGAAACAGGUUAAUAUUCCUGUACUUGGUGUUACUGCGAAGGGGGGACGGAGAAGGCUAUGUUGGCCGGGCGACGGUUGUCCCGGUUUAAGCGUGUAGGCUGGUUUUCCAGGCAAAUCCGGAAAAUCAAGGCUGAGGCGUGAUGACGAGGCACUACGGUGCUGAAGCAACAAAUGCCCUGCUUCCAGGAAAAGCCUCUAAGCAUCAGGUAACAUCAAAUCGUACCCCAAACCGACACAGGUGGUCAGGUAGAGAAUACCAAGGCGCUUGAGAGAACUCGGGUGAAGGAACUAGGCAAAAUGGUGCCGUAACU